GAUGAACGGUCGUCUCUGAAGUAAAGGCUGGACUACAAUAGAACUGGUUGGAGCAGUUUGUGAAAAGUGUUAUCUGUUGCAGAUGGUAAGACCCUUUGGGGGGACUUUGGGCUUUUUCACUUUGUAAAACUAUUACAUGCACAA